rnacentral:rRNA from 1 species
GAAACUAACCAGGAUUCCCCCAGUAACGGCGAGUGAACGGGGAUUAGCCCAGCAUCGAAGCCUAUGCCUGUUUGGGUGUAAGGCAAUGUGAUGUUAUGGGGUGUACCUAGGGUCGCUGGUCAACUCGAAGUCCAAUAUUGAAUGUGGCUUUUGUAUUUGGCCCAGAGCGGGUGAAAGGCCCGUGCGAGUUGACUGUUAGUCAAGUCUAGCGUCCUCUAGAUGUGCACUCUGUGGAGUCGGAUUGCUUGAGAAUGCAGUCCAAAGUUGGUGGUAAACUCCAUCAAAGGCUAAAUACUGGCACGAGUCCGAUAGCAAACAAGUACCGUGAGGGAAAGUUGAAAAGUACUCUGAAGAGAGAGUAAAUAGUACGUGAAACCACUUACAGGUAAACUGGUGGAGUCCAGCUGCGUGCUGUUGGGACUUAGCUGGGGUGUAUAAAAUGCUCCCAUUGGUCGGUCUUAUAAUGGCCGGUUGAGUUCACGCUCAAUUCAUGUCUGUUUUGCUGGCAGUAUGAAUCAGUGGAGUGGUGUUUGCACGCCAGUGUAUUUUCCUUCGGCUGCCAUCACAGUCGAUAUCGCUGCUAAUGUAUGAUAAUCAAACCGUGGAAUGAUGGGCCUCGAAGUUCAUCUUCCAUGCGGAUGGCAGGUGGUUUGGUUGUUUCGCCUUUGGCGUUCAAUUGGACUUAAAAAUGGCUGCGGCCAGCCGAUUAUCAUGCUGUUGAAUGCAUUCAAUUAUGCAGUAUAUUGGUGAUGAAUAUCAUUGUUAAGCGAAGUUUGCACUAGUCUUGCUUGUGUUUGAUUAUGUUUAAAAGCGUGUUCAGGCAUAUAGUCGAGUUUAGUGGUUGGCUUAGCGCGACAGUGUGUUCGCAUAAACUGUGGUGUUGUGGUA